CUUAUAAACAACCAUGUUCUUUGAUACUAACUAAACUAUUAAAAUCGCUUAUGGCCACUAGAGGAGUGACUAAAGUAGAACAUUUCUCUCCCAAAGAUGAUAGCAUCAAUAGAAUUUCAGUAAGUAGGCUAAUAACGAAGCGCCUUUCCAAGGAUUAAAACUGCCAUCCCAAUUAAAAAAAAAACAAAAAAAUGUCCUUAUACAAGAAAUCUCGUAUUUGAACCUGACUUUUUGACGAGUGAUUCAUACUAAACAUCUCUUUAUUUUGUCGAUAGUUCAACAAAAUUUCUAAAAGUAGUCUUAGACAGGUACUUGAUUGCCACAGUGCCCACAGGUUUGGCCAUCUAUCAUCCGCUAUCAGUGUUGACUCAAAUACUUAAGCAACAUUGAGUCAAAAUUGCGGCGUAGACACUUAAGGAGAUACCAAGUACGAGUCAGAGGCGACUUCAAAUCAAGAAAUGAUCGGCAAUGAGAAUGUAAUAGUCGAGCACUCUAUUUCAUACUCACACCUGUAAUUAAAAACAAAGACACUCAUCAUCAUAAAAG
rnacentral:lncRNA from 1 species